ACGCUCGACACCUACGGGAAGCAGCAGUGGGGAAUAUUGCACAAUGGGGGAAACCCUGAUGCAGCGACGCCGCGUGAGCGAAGAAGUAUUUCGGUAUGUAAAGCUCUAUCAGCAGGGAANAAAAUGACGGUACCUGACUAAGAGCCCCGGCUAACUACGUGCCAACAGCCGCGGUAAUCUGAGCGGGCUGGCAAGGC
rnacentral:rRNA from 1 species